GUGCUUGCUUUGGCUGCACAUGUACUAAAAUUGGAAUGAUACAGAGAAGAUUUGCAUGGCCCCUGAGCAAGGAUGACACACAAAAAGUUGGUGGAGAAAUGGAAUUAA